GAUGAACGCUGGCGGCGUGCCUAACACAUGCAAGUCGAGCGACCUUCUUCGGAAGAGAGCGGCGGACGGGUGAGUAACGCGUGGGUAACCUGCCUCAUACACAUGGAUAACAUACCGAAAGGUAUGCUAAUACAAGAUGAUAUAAGAGAUUCGCAUGGAUUUCUUAUCAAAGCUCCGGCGGUAUGAGAUGGACCCGCGUCUGAUUAGCUAGUUGGUAAGGUAACGGCUUACCAAGGCGACGAUCAGUAGCCGACCUGAGAGGGUGAUCGGCCACAUUGGAACUGAGACACGGUCCAAACUCCUACGGGAGGCAGCAGUGGGGAAUAUUGCACAAUGGGCGAAAGCCUGAUGCAGCAACGCCGCGUGAGCGAUGAAGGCCUUCGGGUCGUAAAGCUCUGUCCUCAAGGAAGAUAAUGACGGUACUUGAGGAGGAAGCCCCGGCUAACUACGUGCCAGCCGCCGCUGUUA
rnacentral:rRNA from 1 species